rnacentral:rRNA from 1 species
AGCAGCCGCGGUAAUUCCAGCUCCAAUAGCGUAUAUUAAAGUUGUUGCAGUUAAAAAGCUCGUAGUUGAAUUUCGGGGUUAGUAGGUUGGUCAUGCCUCUGGUAUGUACUGGUCUCACUGGUUCCUCCUUCCUGAUGAAUCUUAAUGCCAUUAAUUUGGUGUUUUGGGGAAUUUGGACUGUUACUUUGAAAAAAUUAGAGUGUUUAAAGCAAGCUAACGCUUGAAUACAUUAGCAUGGAAUAAUGAAAUAGGACGUUCGAUCCUAUUUUGUUGGUUUCUAGGAUUGACGUAAUGAUUAAUAGGGAUAGUUGGGGGCAUUAGUAUUCAAUUGUCAGAGGUGAAAUUCUUGGAUUUAUUGAAGACUAACUACUGCGAAAGCAUUUGCCAAGGAUGUUUUCAUUAAUCAAGAACGAAAGUUAGGGGAUCGAAGACGAUCAGAUACCGUCGUAGUCUUAACCAUAAACUAUGCCGACUAGGGAUCGGAUGAUGUUAAUUUUUUAAUGACUCA